AUCAUCCGUCGGCAACUAACCGACAAUUCCACCCCUCAGGGUAUACCGACCUCAACGGUCAUCAGACAACAAAGGUCGAGGAACUCACCGAAUAGGUCACAAAUACUGAAUACUAGAAUCGACCGACUAGAUCGCUAAUCUCACAGAUAAUCACAGAAUCGCUCUACUAUAAAUAUGAAACAGGGUAUGCAGAAUAGCUAAGUAGAGCAACAAGAAAAUAUGGUAUCACAUACAGAUAGAUUAUACUCCUACACAUGAUACUAAGUAUG
rnacentral:lncRNA from 1 species